rnacentral:lncRNA from 1 species
UCUAUUCUAUUUGAUUUCCUUAUGGAAUUUACAGAAAAUGGAUGUAUGCAUGUUUUGAUUUGAAAACAGAAUUCUAUUGUAAAGUUUUGGUUUUGGGAAGAUAUGAAAACAAUGAAGAAAUCAUUGAUGUGCUGGAAUAAAAUUACAUAAUCUCUGCACAAGAAUUAAAAUUACCACUGGAAUCGAAAGCAACAGAACAAGAAGUUGAUUGCUGGGUUUUGGUGGUGUGUUGGUUCAAUCUGAAAUUCUUGAACUGGAUGAGGCAGAUGAAAAUGAAUGAAG